CCCUCUCCUUCCUCCCUCUCCCUCUCCUUCUGGUCUUUCUUACUGUCAUUUUGGAAAGGAAACCGAUCAUGGCAGAACUAAGAGAUUACAGCUGGAGCCAGGAACUUAAGUCAGUCACGAGACUACUUCUGGAAGAGUGAGCCGCUGUCCCCUACUUCAAGCCACUUGUACCUCUGAUCCACACCCAAGCACCACACCAAAGCAAGAAGGAUGAGCUUCAGUUUCGAAGGCGCCAGCCACAAAUGAGAAAGUCACCUGGCCCGCAAAAUAAAUUCCUGUCAAAGCACUUAUGAGGCAAGAGUAAACUUGAUUCCGUUUGAACUAGAGCACAGGAGGGUA
rnacentral:lncRNA from 1 species